UACAGAGGUCUCAAGCGUUGUUCGGAUUCAUUGGGCGUAAAGGGUGUGUAGGUGGCGCCGUAAGUCGGGUGUGAAAUUGUCGGAGCUUAACUCCGAAACUGCAUUCGAUACUGCGGUGCUUGAGGACUGGAGAGGAGACUGGAAUUCAUGGUGUAGCAGUGAAAUGCGUAGAGAUCAUGAGGAAGACCAGUGGCGAAGGCGGUCUCUGGACAGUUCCUGACACUGAGACACGAAGGCCAGGGAGCAAACGGG
rnacentral:rRNA from 1 species